rnacentral:rRNA from 1 species
AAUUCGAUGAUACGCGAGGAACCUUACCUGGGCUUAAAUGUAGAGUGCAUUUUUAGAGAUAGAAAUUCCCUUCGGGGCUUUCUGCAAGGUGCUGCAUGGUUGUCGUCAGCUCGUGCCGUGAGGUGUCGGGUUAAGUCCCAUAACGAGCGCAACCCUUAUCGUUAGUUGCCAGCUGGUAAAGCAGGGGACUCUAGCGAAACUGCCACCGUAAGGUGAGAGGAAGGUGGGAUGACGUCAAAUCAGCACGGCCCUUAUGUCCAGGGCUACACACGUGUUACAAUGGCCGGCACAGAGGGCAGCUACCUGGUGACAGGAUGCUAAUCUCGAAAACCGGUCUCAGUUCGGAUCGAAGUCUGCAACUCGACUUCGUGAAGCUGGAUUCGCUAGUAAUCGCGCAUCAGCCAUGGCGCGGUGAAUACGUUCCCGGGCCUU